rnacentral:rRNA from 1 species
CGCGUAGGCGGCCCGCUAAGUCGAACGUGAAAUCCCCGAGCUCAACUCGGGAACUGCGUCCGAUACUGGCGGGCUUGAAUCCGGGAGAGGGAUGCGGAAUUCCAGGUGUAGCGGUGAAAUGCGUAGAUAUCUGGAGGAACACCGGUGGCGAAGGCGGCAUCCUGGACCGGCAUUGACGCUGAGGCGCGAAAGCUAGGGGAGCAAACG